GAUGAACGCUGGCGGCGUGCCUAAUACAUGCAAGUCGAGCGAACAGACGAGGAUCUUGCUCCUCUUACGUUAGCUGCGUACGGGUGAGUAACACGUGGAUUACCUCCCUAUCAGACUGGUAUCACUUCGGGAAACCGGCGCUAAUACCGGAUAAUAUCUUGAUCCGUAUGGUUCAAUAGUGAAUGUCGGUUUUGCUGUCACUUCUCGAUGGAUCCCAGCCUCAUUAGCUAGUUGGUAAGGUACCGGCUUACCAAGGCAACGAUGCGUAGCCGACCUGAGAGGGUGAUCGGCCACACUGGAACUGAGACACGGUCCAGACUCCUACGGGAGGCAGCAGUAGGGAAGCGUCCGCAAUGGGCGAAAGCUUGACGGAGCAACGCCGCGUGAGUGAUGAAGGGCUUCGGAUCGUAAAACGCUGUUAGUAGGGAAGAACAAAUGUGUAAGUAACUAUGCACGUCUUGACGGUACCGAAUCAGAAAGCCACGGCUAACUACGU
rnacentral:rRNA from 1 species